UUGUAAUCUAUAGAGGCGUUUUCUGUGCUGGACCGUGUCCAAGUCCCUUGGAACAGGGUAUCAAAGAGGGUGACAAUCCCGUACUUGACACGACAACCAGUGCUCUGUGAUACGUCUUCUACGAGUCGAGUUGUUUGGGAAUGCAGCUCAAAAUGGGUGGUGAAUUCCAUCUAAAGCUAAAUAUUGGCGAGAGACCGAUAGCGAACAAGUACCGUGAGGGAAAGAUGAAAAGCACUUUGGAAAGAGAGUUAAACAGUAUGUGAAAUUGUUGAAAGGGAAACGAUGGAGGUCAGUCGUGUCUGUGGGAUUCAGCCGUCUCUGGCGGUGUACUUCCCACAGACGGGUCAACAUCAGUUUUGGUCGGCGGAUAAAGGCAGGAGGAAGGUGGCACCCUCGGGUGUGUUAUAGCCUCUUGUUGCAUACGCUGGCUGAGACUGAGGAAUGCAGCUCGCCUUUAUGGCCGGGGUUCGCCCACGUUCGAGCUUAGGAUGUUGACAUGAUGGCCUUCAACGACCCGUCUUG
rnacentral:rRNA from 1 species